rnacentral:rRNA from 1 species
UACGUAGGUGGCAAGCGUUAUCCGGAUUUAUUGGGCGUAAAGGGAACGCAGGCGGUCUUUUAAGUCUGAUGUGAAAGCCUUCGGCUUAACCGGAGUAGUGCAUUGGAAACUGGGAGACUUGAGUGCAGAAGAGGAGAGUGGAACUCCAUGUGUAGCGGUGAAAUGCGUAGAUAUAUGGAAGAACACCAGUGGCGAAAGCGGCUCUCUGGUCUGUAACUGACGCUGAGGUUCGAAAGCGUGUGUAGCAAACAGG